CAGCAUCCUGCAGAGGGGAAAGGUACGAAUUCAGGGACUCUCUCCCAUCUGAAGGAACACAGAAAGCUGAGCUCACACACCUAAGAUAAAGUAACUGAGGCCCAGAGACACAGAGAGACUUGCAGGGAACAACAGCGAAGAUGUACUGAAGCCAGGAUUUGUUCAGCAUCUCUGCCUCCAAAGGGCUUCAAGGCCUGGGCUUUUACCAGGUUUUGCUCCCUAGAGGUUAGGCUUCUGUCUCAGGCUUUUGAACCCCUAGUUGGAGCUACUUUAGACAAUGCAACACGUUUCUGGAGGAGGUGGCGAGUGGGUGGCCCACAGGCUGGGGCAGACAGAGGCCAGCUGAUGAGUAAAGAGGGCAAAUUAGAACAUGAGGCCCAGAGAGAACAUUCUGUUGAGCUCUGACACCACACCUGGGACAGGAGGCCGAGGGCAGGCCACAGGGGUGGGGCAGUUUGGGAAGGGAGAGGAGCACAGGGAAACUCUGAGAAUGGAAACUCUGAGAAUGUAACAGGAUGCCCUCUCUGGGAGAGCUCCCCCAGGUGGGGUGGGCACAGUUAGACACCCUGGAGUGAGUCGGAAAAGGCAGGUGGAGGGAGCUCGCAAAUACCAGCCACUAGUCACAUAGCAACUGGGUGUGUAUGAGGUGCUCACUACAUGCCCAGCACUGUGCUAAACAAUAUAAGUGCUCUGUCUUGCUUAGUCCUCCCAAGUCUCUGAAGUAAGAACAAAUUAUCACAGCCUCCCUUUACAGAUAUAGAAAAUAAGCUACUUGUCCAAAGAAAGUGGUAACGUAGAGGAGGUAUGCAAUAAAUAUUUGUCAAACAGAUGGAUAGUGAGGUGACUGGAUGGGCAGAUGGUACAUGGGUAAAUGGGAGGGGUGGAGGACGGAUGGAUGAAUAAACCUAGUACACAUGCCUGAUCCUCAAAUUUAUCUCUUAACUUCUCCCUAAUCCUGGGAGGCAGUAAGGAAGAGAAGAUUGCUAGAGCCUUUCAGGGGCUCCGAAGGAGAGGCACCCUGGCUGCUUUCCCCUGUUUCACUCUGAAUAAAAUCCAGAGUCAUUGCCACGAGGCUCUGUGGGAUGCGAUUUCAGCCUCAUCUCCUACCAUCCUCCCCUCCACUCAUCCGCUCCAGCCACAGUGGGCUCCUUGCUAUUCUCUCAACACGCCAAGCUCUCCCCAUCUCACUGCCUUUGCACUGACUGUUCCCUCUGCCCAGGAUGCCUUCCAUCAGCUGUCCACCCAGCUCUCUGCUCAGACGUCACAUCCUCAGGGAGGCCUGCUAUUCCAGAUCUAAACUAUCAUCUGGUCGCUCCCUAUUCCCUUAUCCAUUUUAAUUCUUCUCCUACAUAGGAGAGUUUUCCUAACCAACUAGCAUCUUAUCUGCGUCUGUC
ensembl:lncRNA